GCCCGAAUGGCGGAAUUGGCAGACGCGCUACAUUCAGGGUGUAGUGUCCUUAUGGACGUGCAGGUUCAACUCCUGCUUCGGGCA
rnacentral:tRNA from 1 species